rnacentral:sRNA from 1 species
AAACCAGCUUCUCGGCGCCAUUUUGUCUCGGCAGCGGUGGCCGUAGCUCCAUCGCAUUUUAUGUUUCUGGCGAGAAGGGAACGGAGUUUUCAUCAGGUAGAUUGGUUUUUGUGCAGCCGUCCUCCACCGUUUCCUCCAGGACAGCACCUAGUCGUGGCCGGAAGAGUCUCAGAGCUGUCAGAAAGAAUAAGACUGAUUUUAUGGGAAAAUUAAGCAAAUGCUCCAGUUUGAAAAACCUGGAUCUGCGAUCUGUUUGUGGAUUCAAUUACUGGACUUGUCAACUCUGCCAGUGUACGUGCCAUUUCUCUUCCACUAUGAGUGGACCGAUUGUAUUGCACAUUUGUCUGGCUUUCUGUAGCCUUCUGCUUUUCAACAUUGCCACACAAUGUCUGGCCUUCCCCAAAAUAGAAAGGAGGGAGAUAGCACAUGUUCAUGCGGAAAAAGGGCAGUCUGAUAAGAUGAACACUGAUGACCUAGAAAAUAGCUCCAUUACCUCAAAGCAGACUCCCCAACUGGUGGUCUCUGAAGAUCCAAUGAUGGUGUCAGCAGGACCAUCGGCAACAUCAUUA